rnacentral:rRNA from 1 species
GAUGAACGCUAGCGGCAGGCCUAAUACAUGCAAGUCGAACGGUGUCUUCGGACAUAGUGGCGCACGGGUGCGUAACACGUAUGCAACCUACCUUACAUUGGGGGAUAGCCUUUCGAAAGGGAGAUUAAUACCGCAUAAGACAGUAGCUGGGCAUCCAGCAGCUGUUAAAGAUUUAUCGAUGUAAGCUGGGCAUGCGUCCAAUUAGCUAGUUGGUGAGGUAACGGCUCACCAAGGCAAUGAUUGGUAGGGGAACUGAGAGGUCAAUCCCCCACACGGGCACUGAGAUACGGGCCAGAAUCCGGCGGGAGGCAGCGGUAGGGAAUAUUGGGCAAUGGGCGCAAGUCUGACCCAGCCAUGCCGCGUGCAGGAUGUAGGCGUUAUGCGUUGUAGACUGCUUUUAUACAGGAAGAAACGACUCUUGCGAGAGGCAUUGACGGUACUGUAUGAAUAUGCACCGGCUAACUCCGUGCCAGCCGCCGCUGUAAAAC